rnacentral:lncRNA from 1 species
AGGGAUAUGUUUAUUAGUGGAACUACAACCAGUGUAUUAUUGUUUUACAAUAGAACCAAAUGGGCAAGCAUUUGGAGUUUCCUGCACAUAUUUAUUUAGGUACCCAGACAACAUGAUCCUCGGGAAGGAAAUGGCAAACAGGAACUUGUCCUGGCUUGAUCUGCAGAACUUUGAAAGCCAAGUGUUUUGGGUUCCAUUUUGUUGUAUCUUCAUGGCAUACUGCCACUGCUUUAACUUUUGUUCCAUCUGCACCCACCAAGGAAAGUGUAUAUGCUCUAGUAGCUUGUGUUUUGUGGCAGUAAAAUACAGCAUAUGCAUAAUUUUGCUGGUGGCACACUACAGCUUUGUCAUUUGUCAUGUUUUUCACUCCUGCAAUGGUAUAUUUCUGCAGUGGAGUAUCUUUCUCUGAAUUUGUUGAUAUCGCCUGAACGUUCUUCCCCAGUUUGGAGGUGGUGAAAUCUACCAUUGCUUCCAAUGAUGUUGCACAGAACUUCUCCUCUCCCUGGAUGCCUGGCUCCUCGCACUCUUUUAUUGUAUUUUUCAUAACUUCAGCUUCCUGUGAGUUGGGCUUCACUGAGAAUUUGUUCAAGAUUUCAGUCAUUUUGUUUGAUGAGAAAGGAAUUGAUUCAGCAACCUGGCGAGGUAAGAAAGUGGCUCCAUGUGAAGUCUUGAAGAAAUGCAAGUUCAUCUUUGAUCCUCGAGUCAUGUUAUUUUCCAAGAAGAAAAGAGCUACAUUUGGGUUGUCAUGGAGCUGAUCCCUGGUUGCUGCGUAGUUAUACAAGAAUGGUGAUGUCCCUGGCCUUCCUCCCACAUAUACUGGUUUCCCCCUGUGGUGGCCUGAGGAUACGGUUACACCUCCACCAUGCCCGACAUUCACAUUGGUGCCUUCAGGAUUUCUGCCCUGUGUCUCGGAACCUCCUGGAUCCCCCGGUCCAACAUUCACGUUGGUGCCUCCUGGUGUAUUAACACCUACUCCACCAGGCCCGACGUUUACAUUGGUGCCUCCUGGUGUAUUUACAUCUACGCCACCGUGCCCAGCAUUCACGUUGGUGCCUCCUGGAUUUCCACCCUGAGUAUUAACAUCUACUCCACCACCACUUACUCCGACUGAAGUACUUUUAUCAUCCACCGUUUCUGCCAUAACAAUCAGUUAGCAUGAACACACGGAUGAAUAUACUAUUCAUACCACCUUAUAAGUAAUUUAAUGUCUUAUUCUUUCUUUCUUUAGAUAGGAUUAGUUUUCCUUGUGUAAGAAUUGUUAAAAAUCUACUUAAUCCUUUUCAUGUACCGGAUUUGCCAAUUUUUUGCUAAAAAAAAGGUAAUUUAAUGUCUUAUGCUCUGUAGUAGUAUUUAUUCUAGAGUUUGCUGACUCGUUCCCUUUUAACCUUUGUAUCACUGUUUAUUGCCUAAGCCUAAUUUGUGGUUUCUCGAGAACAUUACUGGCAUGUAGAAACAUGAAAUGCAUAGAGACAAAAAAGCAUUUUGUUUUUGAAUAACAACAGUGAAAGAACAGCUUUUAGGUUUGAGUCUGACCAGAUUGUAUAAGAUCCUCGAUAGCUUUCGGCAUAGGACUGUUAGGGAGCACAGAUUUCCAAUAUGUCUCAGCAGGUUGUGCUGCGUGGCUUGACACACAAGCUAGCUGAAACACACAGACGAACAAGUGAACAUUUUAUUGGAAAAGGCGUAAAAGAGAAUACAUUUUAUUGGCAAAAGCGUAAAUAAUUGAUACAAUGUUGUACUCACAGCAACAAAGAUGAAGAGAUGUAGGGGUCGAAACUCCAUUUUGUAAGAGACUGGCCGCCAAGGGAAGUGUAAACAGAAGUGAAAUUUUAUGAUAGAUGUGAAAAAUGAAACCACAACUUUCUUGAAGAUAAAAGGCAACAACUAUAGUGCUAUUUAUAGCCGAAUGUGGGUUCAGGGUAAAAUGUCAGCAGAUAAGCAACAGAUCAUCUCUACUGAUGACUUGUGCUCUAAUCACUUCCAACUGUGGCUUAAACGCAUUAAUGCCAAUUGAGCCAAAUGUAUCAGUGAGUUACAUGUGUGAAGUUCUGCGCGUUUGUGUGUGAGAUACAGAUGCCUGUUUCCUAAUUGCAUACGCAAACGAUAAUCCUGUCUGGUCUGAUCUGAUAAUGGUCAAUCCUUACUUGAUCAAUGCUAUCAGACAAAGGGUUUCAGCUGGAAGUUGAGAGCUCAAGUUUUAAGCCUUGCGCUUAUGGCAAUCUGGCGUCAUCUUUAUCGAUUAGUUUUCUGGCCAUCCCAACUCUCUCAUUGGUUUCUUUUUCUAGCCGUCCUCCCUCUUUUUCCGACCCUCUCUUUCUCUCAAACUCUUUCUUAUUUCUUCUCUCCAACCGCCACCCAAAGCUCUCCUCUUUCCUGGUUUUCUAUCAACCCAGCUGUCAUCUAUUCUUUUCGUUUCUUUCUCUUGCCGUCCCCAAAACCUCUCUCUAUCUCUCAAAACCUAGCUAUCAUUCUAGAUUCAUCCCCCCCUCCAGGUGUCCUAGACACCUGGCCUUUUACAGCUCCAAAUUUCAUCUCCAGGACCUCUUCCAAUCUCAUUUGCAAGUUGCGGCAAAAAACGCAGUUUUCUGCAUUGCCGUGACUCUUUUUUUUUUUUUUGAAAAGUAAGAAAUAAUUUUAACUAAAAUAAAUAAAAAUACUAAAAAAAAUGCCCAAAACAUAUUUUUGUGAACAAAUUCUUUUCUUACAAAUUUUAUGCUAAAAUUCUUAUAAAUAAAAAUAAACAACUAAAAAACAAAAACAAAAUAAAACUAAAAAAUGAAAUAAAAGACAAAAAUAAAUUAAGAUGCUAUAAAAAUACUAGAAAAUGCCCAAAACAAAAAUUAUGAAACUAAUAUAUAUGAUUAUCACUAAAAUAAAAUAAAAAUAAAAAAAAUAAAAAUUAAAUAAAAGUAAAAUAAAAUCGUUCAAAAUUUUGGUGUCUACACCCUCCACUCGCAGCAUCAAUGAUAUUCCUGUAUCUGAAGAUUAGUCCCUCGUAAAAAUAUUGUAUGAGCAACUGCUCACUUAUUUGGUACUGAGAGCACUUGAUGCACAACUUCUUGAAUCGCUCCCAGUAGUCGUAGAGUGACUCCUGGAUGCUGUUUGAUACCACAGAUCUCCUUUUUAGACUUAGUUGACAUGCUCAAUUUGAUAAGUGUGUCUUCCACGAGUUUUCUGGCAGCUGACGGAGCACAUCUCAAGUUCGUUUCAGUUAGAUUUUAGUUGAUGAGUUUUGGAUGAAACAAUUGCUAAAAAAGGCCUCCUCUUUGUUCAGUUAACUUUAUUUCCUCUGUAAUCUCAGGACUCAUGAAGCUGUUUCAGAGAACACAAGUCUGCUACUCACACAUGAUCCAUUUUAUCAUCUAUUAAUGGUUGUUGGGCUGAUAAUAGUGCAGUUUAAGGAAGGGAAUUUGCGUUUUUCAUCCUGCAGACGGUCAAGAGUUGGAGAUGCUAUUCUUUUGAAGGAGCGGUUACUGAUGCAUAAUUCUCAUGACUGCAUGAUCCAAUUGAGGAAAAGCAUCUCUACAUUCUAAGGUUAGUCCGGAUUGAUCUAAACUAAAAUAUUUUAAGGUUAGUCCUGAUUGAACUAAAGCAUGCUAAAAUGAUUGAACAGACCAUUUAAUGUUGUAUUAAGAAACAUGUCUUUUUGUCUUGGCCUUGAGUGAAUGGUGUAUAGGCAUGUUCUAUCUGAAUUUUAAUUGUGGGAAGGUUCUCUUUCCCUUGCUGAUUGAAGCCAGCCCAAUGUUAAUUAACUUGAGCUGGACAAGUGCUAUCAAGAGUUUAUUGUUGUUCUUUUUAGUAUGAUAACAAGGCUCCGUUAGAGUUCUAUUCAAAAUUUGUUGUCGUGCUAAAGCAUUGGCUGGAGGGUUCUUAACUUUAUUGCCAAAUUAUUGAAAGCCAUUUGUUAAAGCUUUUAAGGAAUUAAGUGGUUUUUCUGUUGAAGAAUAUUGUUGCAUCUCAUAGAUGACUAAAAUGGAAGAUUCAGAAGAAAAUUCCAAGGAUGCUGUGGUGGCAGUAUGAAUGGAUAUUGCAUGGAAUGUCUUGCACAAAGUAAAGAUCUCGUAUAUGCAUUGUCAGAGCAAUAUCCCAACCACAAUCUCUAGCACAAUUGAACUUAAGAUGUUUAAGAUGAGAUGGAGUGGGUAUGCUGGAUUAGUUUCAUCGGUUGUUUCUUUGAGAUUCACAGGUAACAUUUGUCAAACUGAAGAAUAUUUUAGUUAUUACAUUGACAUGGCCUGAAGAUGAAGGCUCACAGUACAAUACUUCCUGCAUAUCAUGCUUAUUCAUCUAGGAUCAUCUUGGAGGAUCAGGUGGCCACUAUUUAAUUUUUCAUUUGUUGCUGUUUUUUGCACUCUCGUGGUUUCAAAAUGCAUUCUAAAAACACUUCUCACAUCGCAAGGACUUCUUUUAUUUAUUUUCUCUGUUCCAUCACCUCAUUUUUUUUCCUUCUUUCUGUAGUUCUUGAUUCUGUUCGUUAGAAAUCUAUUUUCAGUUGCCCUAGGUUGCUUUUGGGUUGGGCAUUUGUAUUUCAGGGAAAGAUGUGAGGAGUGGUUUUGAAAUCUUUGUUCUUGUUGUCUUGUCUUUAAAGAAAGACGCCUUACAGUGGUUUGUUAUUGGCUGACCCACCAUACCAGCUCCAUAAGUACUCGAAUGAAAUUACUUCAGAGGAGGACAUGAGAGCCGUACCUUACAUAAAGAAACUCACUCACUAUCUGACAUAUAUUCUAAGUAUAGAAUCUAAUACUCAGAUGUCUUUUAGUAUAGCUGGUCAGACUACAUCCUGAGUACAGAUAAUAGUUGUAAUUGAUUUCUUUCUUAGUAGACAUUUGAAUAAGAAAAUUUCUUAAUGAAAGUUAUCCACUCCAAGUUACUAAAGACUUGAAAGUAACUUGUCAAUGGCCAAUUUAUGAUGGAUAUUUGACCACCUUACUGGAACUGCUGAAGUCUUGAUGGUUUAUGAGGGAUGCGAAAUCCACAAUAAGGAGGCCAUUCAGACACUAGCAGUGGAUUUGUAGUUGUCUGAAACAUGCUACUCUGAAUCUUCUAUCUGAGGAAAACCAUCUAUGUUUGUUGAAGUGAUAUUAAACAGUCUUAUACUAAAUCCGUCAAUUAUUUUUGUUUACAGUUACGUGGUAGGCAUUUAACUUCAUCCUCUACUCUGUUGCCAUCUCUAAUCUAUACUGAGAAUUGGAUUUUGUCAAUUAUUUUGCUCAUAACUGAUGCUAAAAGACCUUUAGUGCAAUUUUAUUCCUGUGCAGGGGAAGAUUAUUUGAUUUGUAAUUAUAGUAAAAAAUGAUUUUUUAAUCUGCAUUGUGCUACUGAUAAGCACUUGAAGGAUUUGUUCACUCUGAAAUCCAAUCAAAGGAAGAGAAGUCUAAACUUUUGAGUAACUAAGAGGGAUAUGUUUAUUAGUGGAACUACAACCAGUGUAUUAUUGUUUUACAAUAGAACCAAAUGGGCAAGCAUUUGGAGUUUCCUGCACAUAUUUAUUUAGGUACCCAGACAACAUGAUCCUCGGGAAGGAAAUGGCAAACAGGAACUUGUCCUGGCUUGAUCUGCAGAACUUUGAAAGCCAAGUGUUUUGGGUUCCAUUUUGUUGUAUCUUCAUGGCAUACUGCCACUGCUUUAACUUUUGUUCCAUCUGCACCCACCAAGGAAAGUGUAUAUGCUCUAGUAGCUUGUGUUUUGUGGCAGUAAAAUACAGCAUAUGCAUAAUUUUGCUGGUGGCACACUACAGCUUUGUCAUUUGUCAUGUUUUUCACUCCUGCAAUGGUAUAUUUCUGCAGUGGAGUAUCUUUCUCUGAAUUUGUUGAUAUCGCCUGAACGUUCUUCCCCAGUUUGGAGGUGGUGAAAUCUACCAUUGCUUCCAAUGAUGUUGCACAGAACUUCUCCUCUCCCUGGAUGCCUGGCUCCUCGCACUCUUUUAUUGUAUUUUUCAUAACUUCAGCUUCCUGUGAGUUGGGCUUCACUGAGAAUUUGUUCAAGAUUUCAGUCAUUUUGUUUGAUGAGAAAGGAAUUGAUUCAGCAACCUGGCGAGGUAAGAAAGUGGCUCCAUGUGAAGUCUUGAAGAAAUGCAAGUUCAUCUUUGAUCCUCGAGUCAUGUUAUUUUCCAAGAAGAAAAGAGCUACAUUUGGGUUGUCAUGGAGCUGAUCCCUGGUUGCUGCGUAGUUAUACAAGAAUGGUGAUGUCCCUGGCCUUCCUCCCACAUAUACUGGUUUCCCCCUGUGGUGGCCUGAGGAUACGGUUACACCUCCACCAUGCCCGACAUUCACAUUGGUGCCUUCAGGAUUUCUGCCCUGUGUCUCGGAACCUCCUGGAUCCCCCGGUCCAACAUUCACGUUGGUGCCUCCUGGUGUAUUAACACCUACUCCACCAGGCCCGACGUUUACAUUGGUGCCUCCUGGUGUAUUUACAUCUACGCCACCGUGCCCAGCAUUCACGUUGGUGCCUCCUGGAUUUCCACCCUGAGUAUUAACAUCUACUCCACCACCACUUACUCCGACUGAAGUACUUUUAUCAUCCACCGUUUCUGCCAUAACAAUCAGUUAGCAUGAACACACGGAUGAAUAUACUAUUCAUACCACCUUAUAAGUAAUUUAAUGUCUUAUUCUUUCUUUCUUUAGAUAGGAUUAGUUUUCCUUGUGUAAGAAUUGUUAAAAAUCUACUUAAUCCUUUUCAUGUACCGGAUUUGCCAAUUUUUUGCUAAAAAAAAGGUAAUUUAAUGUCUUAUGCUCUGUAGUAGUAUUUAUUCUAGAGUUUGCUGACUCGUUCCCUUUUAACCUUUGUAUCACUGUUUAUUGCCUAAGCCUAAUUUGUGGUUUCUCGAGAACAUUACUGGCAUGUAGAAACAUGAAAUGCAUAGAGACAAAAAAGCAUUUUGUUUUUGAAUAACAACAGUGAAAGAACAGCUUUUAGGUUUGAGUCUGACCAGAUUGUAUAAGAUCCUCGAUAGCUUUCGGCAUAGGACUGUUAGGGAGCACAGAUUUCCAAUAUGUCUCAGCAGGUUGUGCUGCGUGGCUUGACACACAAGCUAGCUGAAACACACAGACGAACAAGUGAACAUUUUAUUGGAAAAGGCGUAAAAGAGAAUACAUUUUAUUGGCAAAAGCGUAAAUAAUUGAUACAAUGUUGUACUCACAGCAACAAAGAUGAAGAGAUGUAGGGGUCGAAACUCCAUUUUGUAAGAGACUGGCCGCCAAGGGAAGUGUAAACAGAAGUGAAAUUUUAUGAUAGAUGUGAAAAAUGAAACCACAACUUUCUUGAAGAUAAAAGGCAACAACUAUAGUGCUAUUUAUAGCCGAAUGUGGGUUCAGGGUAAAAUGUCAGCAGAUAAGCAACAGAUCAUCUCUACUGAUGACUUGUGCUCUAAUCACUUCCAACUGUGGCUUAAACGCAUUAAUGCCAAUUGAGCCAAAUGUAUCAGUGAGUUACAUGUGUGAAGUUCUGCGCGUUUGUGUGUGAGAUACAGAUGCCUGUUUCCUAAUUGCAUACGCAAACGAUAAUCCUGUCUGGUCUGAUCUGAUAAUGGUCAAUCCUUACUUGAUCAAUGCUAUCAGACAAAGGGUUUCAGCUGGAAGUUGAGAGCUCAAGUUUUAAGCCUUGCGCUUAUGGCAAUCUGGCGUCAUCUUUAUCGAUUAGUUAGUAGUUUUUUUUUCAAGUUUUUGACGUAUGGCUUCAAUCCUGCUCUUAAUGUGGCUGACAAACUUGAAGUAUAUCCAAAGUGAUUUGCUAGUUUUACUAAGCUUAGCUACAGGAUUUGGAUGAUCAUCUUUCAGUCACAGAAGAAUGUCAAAAAAAUCACAUAAACGUAUUAUGCAUACCUAUUAACUACUAUUUUUAUACACAGAAAGCCAUUAACUAUUUUCAUACUUUUCUUGCUUGCAAGUUUGAAAGGAAACUGUUUGGCGUUGUGAAAUUAUGGUGCAUAUCCAAUCCCGGUUUUCUUGUUAUGGUAUAACUUUUUUAUUUUAGCAUAAAUUCAAGAUAGAUCCAAUUAUAUAACCGUAUUUGUCAUGAACAUUUACGUUUUCGCUUUUUAUUACUCAUCGUUUUAGUAGAUAAUAAGUAAGGAAUGAAUCCGGUAUUAUUUUUUCUAACACCAAAUAGAAAAUUGUUCUUUUAAAACCGAACAUUUUACUUUCCCCAACUUCGGACAACACAUUUUGUGAGCUGUUUAAUCAAAAAAAUUGUUUCUCUCGAGUAGACAAAAAAAAAAAAAAAGAAAGAAAAAACACAAAGUCCUUUAAUGCAGUAUAUGUUCUGAUUUUUUUGACACAUUUUGCCGACUUUCAUUAUUGUAAUAACAUGCUGCAAUAAAUGUGUCACUCAAAUUCAAACAGUUUGUUGGUAGCUGGGGUGGUUGUUAUCUCUUAUACCUUCAAACCUCCUGCCUGUAUUCAAUACUGCCUAGUACUUUCUUAAGCACUGCAAUUUGUUCUUUUACUAUUACUAUUAAAAUUUCAGUAAUGCAGAAACUCUAGAAUGUAUUUGUUACACUUAUCCGUACAUGUAAUGAACACAUUCUACACCCCUUAGAUUUUUUGAAGGUAAAAUCUUGUUUAUAAUUCAAUUUUUUGUAAUAAUAAAAUGACAUCUUAGAAAAAAAAAAUAAUAGAACGACAUUUUUUUUAUCUUUGUCCUUUGAUUUUGAAAUAUUCUGUGGAUAGUGGAGAUUUUUUGUCUUAUUUAACUAAUUUUUAUCUUUCGAUUAGCUUUGACCAUUAGUGUAAGUGGCAAAUUAAGUUGUUUUGGGACCAAAUGUUAAAAGGGAUUUACGCUCAUUUACCAUUGACUAAAUACUUCCUCAAACUAAACUUUUCAUCUUCUUGCAUUAGAAGGCAAUGAAAUUUGAGUGGAAAAAUUCCUUCCCCUUGUAUUUUCUUAACCGAGAUCAAGUUGAGAUAGGCAAAUUAACCAUAGAUUGUUAAGAAAAUUUUUUUUUUAUUCUGUACGUAGUCCAUAUAUUAAAAACUAGAAGAAACUUCUGCAAAAGGACUCCACGUAACUAAAAUUACUAAAGAGACUAAUAUGCGAUAAUAUGAUAGGUGUCUGGUUCACAUCUGGUGUCUACUCUGGAAACCAUAUUUCAUACAGAUAAUUUUAAGGACAAAGCUGCAGAAGUACACAAGUAUUUCAGGUUUUAGCACUCAUCUUAUCUAUAUGAUCAGAACUUCGAACCCCAAGCUGAAGCUACCAUGGAACGGAACAUAAAUUAAAGACAACUCGAAAUGGAUAAGACUAAAGUAAAGGAGGGAUCUCAAGGAUUUUCUUCACAAAUUCAGUUCUUGGGAACCCAAACAACAUGGUCCUCAGGAAGGAAAUGGCAUAUUGGAACGGUUCCUGGCUUCACCUUUAGCACCUGGAAAGCCAAAUGCUUUGGGUUCCAUUUUGCUGUAUCUUCGUGGCAAACAGCCACAGCUUUAGCUUUCUUUCCAUCCGCUCCAACCAAAGUAACCUCAUAUGCUUCGGUGGCCUGCGUGGAAUGGCAGUAAAAAACUGCGUAGGCAUAGUUUUGCUUGUGGCAAACCACAGCCUUAUUAUUGUUUAACUUCUUGACACCCACAAUACCAUAUUUCUGGGCUUUGGUGUCCUCUUCUGCUUCUGUGGAAACCGCCUGAACAUUAUUUCCUAACUUGGACGUGCUGAAAUCGACCAUGGACUCGAGGGAAGUUGCACAGUAUUUGUCCUCCCCUUUGAUUCCGGGCUCCUCGCACUCCUUUAUCGUAUUCUUAAUAGUCUCAGCUUCGACAGAUUCCGGCUUCACUGAGAAUUUGUCGAAAAUUUCGGGUAUGUAUUUGGAUGAGAAAGGUACGGAAUCAGCAACCUUGCGAGGCAAGAAAGUUGCGGGAUUUGAUGAUUUGACGAACUGCAAAUUCAUGCUUGUCCCGCGGUGCAGAUCCUUUUUCAAGAAGAAAAGGGCUACAUUUGGAUUAUCAUGGAGUUGAUCCUCGGUGGCUGCAUACACGUAGAUGAAUGGGUUGCGACCUGGUGUUACUCCAACAUAUACUGGAUGACCCUUGUGGCCGGUGUGGACGGUAACGCCUCCCUUUCCGACGCCGACGUUGGUUUGGGGCUUUCCGGCGGUUACUCCGACGCCUCUGUGACCAACACCAACAUUGGUGCCGCUGCCAGCGGGCUUUCCUUUCCCAGUAUUGACGUUUACUCCUCCCUUUCCUACUGCAACUGAAGCGCUCUUGUCUUCCAACCAUUCUGGGAAAAUAUCACUUAAUCUUCAUACAUAGCAAGGUCAUUGAAACUAAAACCUCAUUUUAUAAUUCCAUAUACCAAUUCUUUUGCAUAGAAAGGCAUAAUAUUCUCAGUUAUAAUAGAUGGAUUGAGGCUAGUGAGGAUUAAUCAAAAAGUUUUAGAAUAGAGGGUACAAAGGAGAAGAUAUAGCUAAUUAGUAAUCGGAAGGUUGUAAUCGGAAGUAUCUUUUAGUGAUCUUUUAAGUCACAGUACAAAGUAGAAUGGUGCAAUUGAUACACUUACUAUAUUUGCGAAAGAAGAUUGAUUUCACUUUCUAGCUUUAAAUUCUCUACUAGAAAAUUUUUUGUUGGAAUUCAGUUUCCAUCUUUCACUCACAAUUUUUCCACAUAGUAAACUGGUGACAAAACAUCAUUUUGUUGACAAGAGCAAUUGCAACUCUGAGCAGCAUGUGUACUUAUUCAAAUAUUAAAAAAAAAAAAAAGAAGGAAGAGGAAUAGUAACAGAAGAAAUUCCUUGUAUCUAACAUUAUUUAAAACUAGAAAAUGCACAGCUAACCACUCAAGCACUUAAUAUAGGGGUCACCAUCAACUAUUUCUGGUUAAUGUUUUAUUUUAUUUUUUAUGUAUAAGUCACCAUCUACUAUUUAAUUCAGAGAGGACACCAUCAGCUAUUAUUUGAAGUGGUUGCUGGCUACUAAAUUACACAAUUGAUGAGCAGUACCUGGAGAAUUUCUGUAUAUGAAAAUUCACUUUCAGAGGUAAAACCACUCUAUUGCACUUAUGUUGGUGAUUAAUCUUGGAAAGAAAUUAGAAAGAAAGAAACUAAAAUGGCAGAGAGAGAGAGAGAGAGAGAGAGAGAGAAUCCGUUUUCAUCUUUGUCAAAGAUGACAAAUUCAUUUCUAGUUUUGUGAAAAGCAUUUGUAGUGAAGCUCCAAAAGUUCUAAAAUUGUAUAUCUAAGCGUUUAAGCUUUUGAACUUAGUGAGUGCCAUUUAAAUUAUUGCCAUGCUUCGACUAUAAAUAUACUAUUCAAAUUGUAUCAAGUCAAAAUGAUGUUUUUGGAGUAUAAAAAUCGUUGGCAUACUACCACCCACUAAUCAUAAUGCAUAUAUAUCCUUCAUACAAGCACAAGAAACGAAAAUUGACCCAAGGAAGACGAACCACUGUGUAGAAUGUCCCUUACUGCCUUUGGCAUAGGAGUGUUUGGCAGCUUGGAUUUCCAAUAAAUAUCAAGAUCUGCAUGGCUUGCUACAACUGCCAGCUGACAUAAAUUAUAGUACAAAGAAAAAUGAUCAGAAAAGUAACAGGGAUUCCCAGAGAAGUUAAUUAGCAAACAUUCAAUAUUGUUCAUGGAAAAAGAGAAGUUUCUACUCACGGAAAGAAAUGUACAAAUGUGGAGGAGCUUGAGCAAUUCCAUGACAGUUUGGACAAAAACAAAACACAGGGCAGAGUGGUUGGAACUGAGACGGACUUUUAAGUGGUACUGAAGGGCAAGAUGUACAACACAGAGUAAAUUGGCAUCAUUAUUUAUAAGCGAACAUUAUGAAAAAUUAGGUGCUUGAGAAAAGCAACGUAUCACCUAAAUUGAUGACUAGUUUAAUUGCUUCAACUGUCUUAGGCUUUUGGCCAUUCAAUGCUAUGAAGCCACAUGUGAAUGUGGGGUACAAAUUAAACACGGAUGGACGAUAUUCGUACAAAUUUGCCAGAAAGUUGUCAGUCAUAUAAUCUAGUUCCGUUCUCAAGGGUUAGAGCCUUAAAGGGGGACAAGAAAUGACUAUAUGGCAUGUCUAGCGUCUUCCCCCUGCUCAUCACUGAACCAAGGGAUGAUAGAAUGGGACGGCCCUUAUUGUGUUGGACUUUUGAAUCGUCCAGCUAAUAACAAUCAACCACCAAAUUUAAUAAGGCUAAUACUUAACCCUACUAAUUUGAACUCUGCAUGCAUGCUGCGCCACGUAAAUUUUUGUACCAUACGUAUCUUCUGAUUGGAAAUUGGUAUGUUAGGGACUUUGGCUAGAAGCCCGGAAGCCUGGUCCAUGCAUAUAUCGAUUAGUCCAUUUCAUGGGACUCAUUUUGAUAUCUAUGGCACAAUAGACGUCUCAAAGUUUUCAGACGCAUUGGCUACCUGGUUUUUAUUGUCAGUUUUUGGAAAUGUUCUCUUAUUAUGAAUUUGAAAUACAUCUUUAUUUUUCCAACAAUCUUUUUACAUCAAAUACUUCUCAUCACAAACGUAGUACAGAUAAUAUUGCUUUUUAGGAACACUACUAAGAAAUACAACCCAAGUGCAAAGGAUGCAGGACUUUUCUUGUUCUGGAAAACUCCUACUACUUGGCAUAAUUUCAGUUUACUACCUAGAACCUGUUGUUGCAUCUUUGUCUUUCAUUUGGACAUACUAUCUUUUAAUAUUUCCAAAUAUCAUCCUUUUUGCUCAAUUCUCAAGAACAAUAUUUGCACACGAUGCUCUCGACUGAUAGAUACUUCCAUCAUCAUUGAUUGAAGAUCGCAUGGUGGAGUUAUGCUAAUUCAGUUGGCAUUGAAUCAGCAAAGAUAUAUAUACAUUUUUUAGGGGUACAAAUUAAGAGAUAACCAUACAAUUACGACAAACUGUCCCACAAACUUGGGGGAGGUUCCCAAUCACCACUGACCCUAUUGGUCAAGUGGUAAGACCACGAGCCAUAUUGGCCAGUUGCUGAGAACUCAGAAGUUGGAACCAAGCCGUACCAAAAAAAAAAAAAAAGAAGAAAAGAAGUUGGAACCAAUGGGGCAUGGGGAAGUGCAUUCGAGCCUUUAAAGCCACUUCCUGGCCAACUCGCCACCAAUAUUCAAUAAACAUGUGAAAACUCAUUUUCGCAGUUACUUUAAGGAUGGCAAACUAAUAAUAAUCUGACUUAGUUUGUUGAUAAAUACUAAGUAGUAGUAUAAAGACAAAAACAAUUAGUGUAAAGACAGUAGGUCCAAAACAUACGUAAAUUCGAUUAGACCAAGUUUAACCGUCCAGAUUAAAUUAUGUUUUCCACCAAUAUGAUUUAGCAUGUAUUUUAC